rnacentral:rRNA from 1 species
AUCGGAACGUAUCCAAUAAUGGGGGAUAACUAAUCGAAAGGUUAGCUAAUACCGCAUACGCCCUACGGGGGAAAGCAGGGGAUCUUCGGACCUUGCGUUAAUGGAGCGGCUGAUAUCUGAUUAGCUAGUAGGUGAGGUAAAGGCCCACCUAGGCUUCGAUCAGUAGCUGGUCUGAGAGGACGACCAGCCACACUGGAACUGAGACACGGUCCAGACUCCUACGGGAGGCAGCAGUGGGGAAUUUUGGACAAUGGGCGCAAGCCUGAUCCAGCCAUUCCGCGUGAGUGAAGAAGGCCUUCGGGUUGUAAAGCUCUUUCGCAAGGGAAGAAACGAUACCGACGAAUAAUCGGUGUUAAUGACGGUACCUUGAUAAGAAGCACCGGCUAACUACGUGCCAGCAGCCGCGGUAAUACGUAGGGUGCGAGCGUUAAUCGGAAUUACUGGGCGUAAAGCGUGCGCAGGCGGUUUUGAAAGUCAGAUGUGAAAUCCCCGGGCUCAACCUGGGAACUGCGUUUGAAACUCCAAAGCUAGAGUAUGGGAGAGGGGGGUAGAAUUCCACGUGUAGCAGUGAAAUGCGUAGAGAUGUGGAGGAAUACCAAUGGCGAAGGCAGCCCCCUGGCCUAAUACUGACGCUCAUGCACGAAGCGUGGGGAGCAAACAGGAUUAGAUACCCUGGUAGUCCACGCCCUAAACGAUGUCUACUAGUUGUUGGGAGAGUAAAAUCUCUUAGUAACGCAGCUAACGCGUGAAGUAGACCGCCUGGGGAGUACGGUCGCAAGAUUAAAACUCAAAGGAAUUGA